rnacentral:rRNA from 2 species
AAAUUGAAGAGUUUGAUCAUGGCUCAGAUUGAACGCUGGCGGCAGGCCUAACACAUGCAAGUCGAACGGUAACAGGAAGCAGCUUGCUGCUUUGCUGACGAGU